GCCUUCGUAGUGUAGUGGUCAGCAUGCUCGAUGAGUAUUCGAGAGGCCCAUGGUUCGAGUCCCGGUGAGGGCA
rfam:Stegodyphus mimosarum contig98595, whole genome shotgun sequence.